rfam:Stegodyphus mimosarum contig114025, whole genome shotgun sequence.
GCCUUCGUGGUGUAGUGGUCAGCACGCUCGACGCGUAACCGAGAGGACAGCGGUUCGAUUCCCGGCGAAGGUG